CAGAAAUCAAGUGAGCAGUCCCAGGAAGAAAGGGGAGUCCCCCGAUUUAGUGGUUAUAGCUGAACAGCUAUUGUGUGCUAGGUGGUGGAGAUCCUGAGAAAAAUACGGAUCCAGCUUUGACAAGACAGGCAGCUGUGGCGGGGGGAUGGAGAUACAUAAUUAUAACAUAUGACCAAACAGCGAGUAGAGGGACUUACAGGCUGACCUUACGGCACAUGAGACUUCACUGGCGGCGAAGACGCUUUACCUUGUGGGUUAAACCUGAGUCUUAAGGUUGUAGCCAAAAGGUAAGAGACACAGAAAGCUCUCCCUGAGGGACUUUUAACGACAAACCCGCAUGAGAUAGCACAGCAGAGCCGAGUGAAGUCUGCCGCUGAACAGCCAGCCCCCGCCUCCCGUCUCAGGAAGCUCGGGUCUCCCUGGGAGCCGGGCUGCCCUUGGAGGAGGCCUCUGAGCUGCGUGCCCUGCAGCUCCACCAGCUCCAGGGGCUGCAGAAGAGGGGCUCUGCGCCCCCCGCCUGGCUCGCGCUAAGCUCGGCAGGAGGGAGCGUCUCGGCGGAGGAGUGAGGAGGACGGGAGGGAGAGGAGCGCCAGAGCCGCGGUCCCGGGCGCUCUGGUCGGCGGCGGAGGAACUGCAGCCACCAACAGGUUCGUAGACCGCGCUCGCUCUCCGCGUCGCCAGCCGAGCGGCCCGGGGAAGACCCCGGCCG
rnacentral:lncRNA from 1 species